AAGCCUGUGAGGAUAUCAUUCAAAGUUGGAAUUACCGGCUGAAUAUCCAGUUGAUGUUAAAAUAGAAAAGACUGGCUGUCUGUCUGAGGCUUCUU
rnacentral:snoRNA from 1 species